rnacentral:tRNA from 1 species
GCCUAGCUGGUUCAAUCGGUAGAGCACGCGACUCUUGAUCUUGGGGUCAUGAGUUCAGGCCCCAUGUUGGGUG